UAUAUUUAUCUCUGCACACUCUCUAACUUCAUUUUAUCUCUCUGGCAGAUCAUAAUAUUUAAAAAAAAAAGGCUGCACACUGUCUGCUUCCUCAGAAGUAACCCUUGGUCCAAGCUUUAUUCCAGUCCCUAAAGUCCCUCCAGUACACAACAGUAGGGUUUUCAGCCGUAGUCUAAGGAGACACAUGGAGCCAGUGGAGACUGCAAAAAGCUUUGACUCUGAACAAUUAAUGACAAAAGGGAAGAAGGUGGCAAAAUGAAAACCUUGAUGAUGGGGAAAAAGCUACUUGAAAAGUCCACCUGACAGAAAAUAAACAGGGCCUUUUGUAGGCCUUAAUGUUGGAAUCUAACAUGUUCACAUCUGAAAGCUCUAUAUAGGGUUAUGUAUUAUUUACUGCCCUCUUCAGGUCAAUAGAUAUAAAAAAGGGUAAUAUUUAAGACCUGAAGGGUACACGGACUGACACAAUAAUGAAAUUUGAAAUGUUACAACUUACUAGCUGUUUACUGUUUCAUAAUGAACCAUAAUUGCAUAACAUUAAAGUGGAAGCUGGUAAAAAUUAUA